rnacentral:rRNA from 1 species
GACGUAGGGCGCGAGCGUUGUCCGGAUUUAUUGGGCGUAGAGAGCUCGUAGGCGGCUUGUCGCGUCGUCCGUGAAAACCCACAGCUCAACUGUGGGCUUGCGGUCGAUACGGGCAGGCUAGAGUUCGGUAGGGGAGACUGGAAUUCCUGGUGUAGCGGUGAAAUGCGCAGAUAUCAGGAGGAACACCGGUGGCGAAGGCGGGUCUCUGGGCCGAUACUGACGCUGAGGAGCGAAAGCAUGGGGAGCGAACAGG